rnacentral:sRNA from 1 species
AGCAGCCGCGGUAAUUCCAGCUCCAAUAGCGUAUAUUAAAGUUGUUGCAGUUAAAAAGCUCGUAGUUGAAUUUCGGGAUCAAUUGAUUGGUCAUGCCUUGGUAUGAACUGGUCAUACUGGUUCUCACCUUCUAAUGAACCAUAAUGUCAUUCACUUGAUGUUAUGGGGAAUUAGGACUGUUACCUUGAAAAAAUUAGAGCGUUUAAAGCAGGCUUACGCUUGAAUACAUUAGCAUGGAAUAAUGAAAUAGGACAUCGCAUUCUAUUUUGUUGGUUUCUAGGAUCGAUGUAAUGAUUAAUAGGGAUAGUUGGGGGCAUUAGUAUUCAAUUGUCAGAGGUGAAAUUCUUGGAUUUAUUGAAGACUAACUACUGCGAAAGCAUUUGCCAAGGAUGUUUUCAUUAAUCAAGAACGAAAGUUAGGGGAUCGAAGACGAUCAGAUACCGUCGUAGUCUUAACCAUAAACUAUGCCGACUAGGGAUCGGAUGAUGUAAUUUUAAAUGUA